rnacentral:rRNA from 1 species
AUUGAACGCUGGCGGCAUGCCUUACACAUGCAAGUCGAACGGUAACAGGUUAAGCUGACGAGUGGCGAACGGGUGAGUAAUGUAUCGGAACGUGCCCAGUCGUGGGGGAUAACUACUCGAAAGAGUGGCUAAUACCGCAUACGACCUGAGGGUGAAAGCGGGGGACCGUAAGGCCUCGCGCGAUUGGAGCGGCCGAUAUCAGAUUAGCUAGUUGGUGGGGUAAAAGCCCACCAAGGCGACGAUCUGUAGCUGGUCUGAUAGGACGACCAGCCACACUGGGACUGAGACACGGCCCAGAAUCCUACGGGAGGCAGCAGUGGGGAAUUUUGGACAAUGGACGCAAGUCUGAUCCAGCCAUGCCGCGUGCGGGAAGAAGGCCUUCGGGUUGUAAACCGCUUUUGUCAGGGAAGAAACGAGUUUCUCUAAUACAGAGACUUAAUGACGGUACCUGAAGAAUAAGCACCGGCUAACUACGUGCCAGCCGCCGCGGUAAAAC